rnacentral:rRNA from 1 species
GCCCCGGUAAACGGCGGCCGUAACUAUAACGGUCCUAAGGUAGCGAAAUUCCUUGUCGGGUAAGUUCCGACCUGCACGAAUGGCGUAAUGAUGGCCAGGCUGUCUCCACCCGAGACUCAGUGAAAUUGAACUCGCUGUGAAGAUGCAGUGUACCCGCGGCAAGACGGAAAGACCCCGUGAACCUUUACUAUAGCUUGACACUGAACAUUGAGCCUUGAUGUGUAGGAUAGGUGGGAGGCUUUGAAGUGUGGACGCCAGUCUGCAUGGAGCCGACCUUGAAAUACCACCCUUUAAUGUUUGAUGUUCUAACGUUGGCCCGUAAUCCGGGUUGCGGACAGUGUCUGGUGGGUAGUUUGACUGGGGCGGUCUCCUCCUAAAGAGUAACGGAGGAGCACGAAGGUUGGCUAAUCCUGGUCGGACAUCAGGAGGUUAGUGCAAUGGCAUAAGCCAGCUUGACUGCGAGCGUGACGGCGCGAGCAGGUGCGAAAGCAGGUCAUAGUGAUCCGGUGGUUCUGAAUGGAAGGGCCAUCGCUCAACGGAUAAAAGGUACUCCGGGGAUAACAGGCUGAUACCGCCCAAGAGUUCAUAUCGACGGCGGUGUUUGGCACCUCGAUGUCGGCUCAUCACAUCCUGGGGCUGAAGUAGGUCCCAAGGGUAUGGCUGUUCGCCAUUUAAAGUGGUACGCGAGCUGGGUUUAGAACGUCGUGAGACAGUUCGGUCCCUAUCUGCCGUGGGCGCUGGAGAACUGAGGGGGGCUGCUCCUAGUACGAGAGGACCGGAGUGGACGCAUCACUGGUGUUCGGGUUGUC